AAGACUAUACUUUCAGGGAUCAUUUCUAUAGUUUGUUACUAGAGAAGUUUCUCUGAACGUGUAGAGCACCCGAAACCACGAGGAGGAGGUGCAGUGGUUUCUCCUGAGCGUGAAUUAGGCAGUGGGUGUUGCUUUUGCAGCAGCCUUUUGCCGUUGAUGAUCGUUUUCACUUUCCGUUCAGGGGAGUGAGAGGGAGAGAUCGCAGUCUGAGUGGU